AAACCCCUGCGAUGUUUGUGAUUGUUCCAUGUCCUUUGCCUAACGCUAUAAAAAAGGGUUUCCACGCUGAUGCCGGUGUGCAUGUUCCUGAUGCUUUAAUGGAAAAGCCUUAAGGUGUUAUUUGGAGACCCACCUAUUGGACCUCGGUUCAAAGACAUUUACAACACGGCAUUAUGUGGGGGUUUA
rnacentral:other from 1 species